ACGUAGCGUUACGAAACGCCUUAAUCUUAGUACCUUAUUAUACCUAUUCUAACUUAUAAUAAAUAAAACCUAAAACCUAAUUUUAAUAAACCUAAUAAAUAAACAUACUUUAAUUAAGUGAUCUAGUUCUAUUACGAUAAGUGAUAAUAAAAGUGUAGGUUCUAAAGUACGUUGUCACCGACAAACCGUUUCCAAUUAUAAGUAGCGAAUAGUUUCGUCCACUCGCGACGUCACCCUUUGUUCACCUUAGAUCUAGCGAUAAGCGACCGGCCGACUACGGGAGGGGCGCAUUGAUUUGCACGGCGAUCAGUCUCUGCUCACCGCUCUGGCAACUAGCCGCUUAUAAUAAAUAUCAUACGUACCUUGUCUGCGAGUACCUAACUCGUCAAAUCUAGACGUUAAUAAUUUUUAUAAUUCCUCAAAUAAGUGUUUAUACGUUGUUCCCAUCUGGGAACAACUACCGGACCGAUUAAAUCGGCCAAUCUAGUUCCGGACCACGGAAGACUCACCCUGGGCGACUGUCCCGGGCUUCCCCUCCCGCUACCUGAGUAGCUGACCUCGUCGGAUCCCUCGACCCCGACGUGGACCUAGACCUGGAGCUGCACCUGGACCUGGACCUGCACUUCGACAGGAAGCCAAGGAGAGUGCGGUAUUUCUUGACCGAACCAGUGCGCGUGUGACACCCUUGACCUUGGCCUAACCGACGACCUAUCUACCUACUUAUUUAAAAUAAAUCUUCUUUUUAAACUAAAUUAUGUUCGUCCUUUUUAUUUCCUCACCUGUAGGAUUUAUUUAGGCGACAGCAUUUU